GUCCCUUAGUGUAGGUAGUUUACUGCCGAGAAUUUGAUUAUCCAUUGAUCCAAUCAAAUAUAUUGUCUUUCGUGGCAUUUUUAACAAACGUCGACAAUUUUAUUUUAAUAAAUACAAAAAACAAUUUAAAAACUUAACUUUAAAUAGAAACAAUAAAAUAUCAUUAAUAUCAUACACAGCACAUGACGUUACGACGAUCACGGGUUGACUAACAAAUAAUAUUCAUAAAUUCUAUGGAAACUAUUUAAAGAUAAAUCGUAAUAUCUAAUAAUCGAUAAGAUAACUGAGUUAAUGGACUCAAUAAAAUAGGUAUUAACUAAAAGGUAUGUACA